rnacentral:lncRNA from 1 species
AGGUGGAGCUCAGGAGGCAGAGGUCCUGCAAGAUGAAAUACCAGGUGAUGGUGUCAGGAACACCGUGAGGCGAACCCUGUUGCCCACAAGCAGCAUGUUGGCCAUCACAGCUCCAUUCACUUUGGUCUACAACAUGUAACUGCGAUGAGAGAAGUAAGAGAUGCCUGAAGGGAAGCAAGAAUGGAAAGCAUCCUUAAAAUGACUGAUUUACAAUUGAUGGAUGUGAAAGCUGGAAAUCUACCAAAAGUAUAG